AACGCGAAGAACCUUACCAGGGCUUGACAUCCUCUGUAAGCUGCAGAAAUGUAGUCCCCAUAGCAAUAUGGCAGAGAGACAGGUGCUGCAUGGCUGUCGUCAGCUCGUGUCGUGAGAUGUUGGGUUAAGUCCCGCAACGAGCGCAACCCUCGUCGUAUGUUGCCAGCAUUAAGUUGGGCACUCAUGCGAGACCGCCGUUGAUAAGACGGAGGAAGGUGGGGAUGACGUCAAGUCAGCAUGGCCCUUACGUCCUGGGCCACACACGUGCUACAAUGGCCGGUACAACGAGCAGCAAGAUCGCAAGAUCAAGCGAAUCUCUUAAAACCGGUCUCAGUUCGGAUUGUAGGCUGCAACUCGCCUACAUGAAGUCGGAAUCGCUAGUAACCGCAGAUCAGCUACGCUGCGGUGAAUACGUUCCCGGGCCUUGUACACACCGCACGA
rnacentral:rRNA from 1 species